rnacentral:tRNA from 1 species
GUGUUUUUAGUUUAUUAGGUAAAACGGCUCUCUGUGAAGGAGUAGAACAGGGUUCGAUCCCCGAAAACACC